rnacentral:piRNA from 1 species
UUGCUGUGACACUGUGUGUGAUGGC